AAUUCUCGUCGGUUUGACCAGGCC
rnacentral:miRNA from 1 species